UACAGAGGGUGCGAGCGUUAAUCGGAAUUACUGGGCGUAAAGCGCGCGUAGGCGGCUUUGCAAGUCGGGUGUGAAAUCCCCAGGCUUAGCCUGGGAACUGCAUUCGAGACUGCAUUGCUAGAGUAUGGGAGAGGGAAGUGGAAUUUCCGGUGUAGCGGUGAAAUGCGUAGAUAUCGGAAGGAACAUCAGUGGCGAAAGCGACUUCCUGGACCAAUACUGACGCUCAUGUGCGAAAGCGUGGGGAGCAAACAGG
rnacentral:rRNA from 1 species